GGAAUAUAAGAACCCGUCUCUUACCUUUUAACUAAAAAAACUAAGAACUGGUUUUUAAAUAAGAGUUUUAAGAGCCGGUUCUUAACUUUUUUAGUUAAAAGUUAAGAAACAGAUUCUUAUAUUCC
rfam:Brassica napus, WGS project CCCW01000000 data, contig: 6234